rnacentral:lncRNA from 1 species
GCAUGCAUAUAUCCACUAAACAUUUUGCAAUAUACGUAUUUGUACAAGCAUCUCUAUAUAUUUAUGCAAAGAGACUAUGUGUAAUAUGUCAGGAUAUUAUCUUGUGCAUUCAUGAAAACCCUAUAGCCGCGUUUAGCUCUGAAUGUUAGACAAAUUGAUAGCGCGAAUAAAUAUUAUUUAAAUUAUCAACUAAUUAAACUAUACAAAGUUGUGUGCUUUCGAUCGGAACGAUUGUUGCUGAUGUCGCAACAUAAUUGUGAUAAAGGGAAUUUCCCUCUUUUCAUUACAACAAUUCGGUCUCCGAGUCGAUCCGAUAUUUACGGAACAAACCGAUCCUAGUCCAAAGCAGAUCCUAAAAAUUAAGAGAACCGAUUAUUCUCAUUCAAUCGUGCGAUGACAUGAAACGGAACGAACGACAGUGCAUGCUGAACAAUAUCAAGCGGACUAUUCGUUCGUUUAUAUAAAGUAAAUUAACUCCUCGUUCUUAUUCAACCGUUCCUUCAAUAUAAAGGAACAAGUUACUGAAGUUCCUUUAUAUAAAGUGAACAGAUUGUUCUCAUUCAACCGUUCCUUAAUAUAAAGGAACAAGUGACUGAAGUUCCUAUACGUAAAGUGAACUGAUUGUUCUCAUUCAACCGUUCCUUAAUAUAAAGGA